rnacentral:rRNA from 1 species
UACGUAGGGUGCGAGCGUUGUCCGGAAUUAUUGGGCGUAAAGGGCUCGUAGGCGGUCUGUCGCGUCGGGAGUGAAAACUCAGGGCUUAACCCUGAGCCUGCUUCCGAUACGGGCAGACUAGAGGUAUGCAGGGGAGAACGGAAUUCCUGGUGUAGCGGUGAAAUGCGCAGAUAUCAGGAGGAACACCGGUGGCGAAGGCGGUUCUCUGGGCAUUACCUGACGCUGAGGAGCGAAAGUGUGGGGAGCGAACAGG